GUGGGGAAUAUUGGACAAUGGGGGGAACCCUGAUCCAGCCAUGCCGCGUGUGUGAAGAAGGCCUUUUGGUUGUAAAGCACUUUAAGCGAGGAGGAGGCUUACCUGGUUAAUACCCGGGAUAAGUGGACGUUACUCGCAGAAUAAGCACCGGCUAACUCUGUGCCAGCAGCCGCGGUAAUACAGAGGGUGCAAGCGUUAAUCGGAUUUACUGGGCGUAAAGCGCGCGUAGGUGGCUAAUUAAGUCAAAUGUGAAAUCCCCGAGCUUAACUUGGGAAUUGCAUUCGAUACUGGUUAGCUAGAGUAUGGGAGAGGAUGGUAGAAUUCCAGGUGUAGCGGUGAAAUGCGUAGAGAUCUGGAGGAAUACCGAUGGCGAAGGCAGCCAUCUGGCCUAAUACUGACACUGAGGUGCGAAAGCAUGGGGAGCAAACAGG
rnacentral:rRNA from 1 species